AGAGUUUGAUCAUGGCUCAGAUUGAACGCUGGCGGCAGGCCUAACACAUGCAAGUCGAGCGGUAACAGGAAGCAGCUUGCUGCUUUGCUGACGAGUGGCGGACGGGUGAGUAAUGUCUGGGAAACUGCCCGAUAGAGGGGGAUAACUACUGGAAACGGUAGCUAAUACCGCAUAAUCUCUAAGGAGCAAAGCAGGGGAACUUCGGUCCUUGCGCUAUCGGAUGAACCCAUAUGGGAUUAGCUAGUUGGUGAGGUAACGGCUCACCUAGGCGACGAUCCCUAGCUGGUCUGAGAGGAUGACCAGCCACACUGGAACUGAGACACGGCCCAGACUCCUACGGGAGGCAGCAGUGGGGAAUAUUGCACAAUGGGCGCAAGCCUGAUGCAGCCAUGCCGCGUGUAUGAAGAAGGCCUUCGGGUUGUAAAGUACUUUCAGUCGGGAGGAAGGUGUCAAGGUUAAUAACCUUGGCAAUUGACGUUACCGACAGAAGAAGCACCGGCUAACUCCGUGCCAGCCGCCGCGGUAAUAC
rnacentral:rRNA from 1 species